rnacentral:rRNA from 1 species
AAACCGCAUAGGGGUUAAGCCCGAUGAACCUGAAUAUCUGAACUGAGAAAUUCAGUACUAUUUUAGUAAUUUAUCUAAACAAUAAACGAACGAUGGUAUGCACUUAUCUCGUAGUAGGACAUUGCGAUCCAUUAGUGAUUCUUUUUAGAUGGUUUAUCAAACGGCCCGUUUGGUUUGCUUGUUCUAUCUGUGGCACUUGUGUCAUAUGAAUAAUGCCGAUGCGGUGACCUGAUAAACAGCUGAUGGAGCUUAACAAUCAUGCAACCAUGCAUAUGUAUUACGGUCUAUGUAUUUAUUUAUGUAGAUGCAGUGAUAGCAUGUAUUUGAUUAGCAAUGCGAUAGAUUUGGGAUACCUUCGGGACCCGUCUUGAAACACGGACCAAGAAGUCUAACAUGUGUGCGAGUCAUUGGGUAUAUGUUGAAACCUAAAGGCGUAAUUAAAGUAACUAUUAUGGGAUUACAAGCAAUUUAAAAUAUUGUUUCUCCAUCCCGGGGCGUUCUAUACGAACAUGGUUUAAGCAAUUAGGCCCUCUGUUCAAGAGCGUACCUUGAGCAUACAUGCUGU